AGUGAACGCUGGCGGUAGGCCUAACACAUGCAAGUCGAACGGCAGCACAGAGGAGCUUGCUCCUUGGGUGGCGAGUGGCGGACGGGUGAGGAAUACAUCGGAAUCUACUCUGUCGUGGGGGAUAACGUAGGGAAACUUACGCUAAUACCGCAGACGACCUACGGGUGAAAGCAGGGGCUCUUCGGACCUUGCGCGAUUGAAUGAGCCGAUGUCGGAUUAGCUAGUUGGCGGGGUAAAGGCCCACCAAGGCGACGAUCCGUAGCUGGUCUGAGAGGAUGAUCAGCCACACUGGAACUGAGACACGGUCCAGACUCCUACGGGAGGCAGCAGUGGGGAAUAUUGGACAAUGGGCGCAAGCCUGAUCCAGCCAUACCGCGUGGGUGAAGAAGGCCUUCGGGUUGUAAAGCUCUUUUGUUGGGAAAGAAAUCCAUCUGGUUAAUACCCGGGUGGGAUGACGGUACCCAAAGAAUAAGCACCGGCUAACUUCGUGCCAGCCGCCGCCGUAA
rnacentral:rRNA from 1 species